rnacentral:rRNA from 1 species
AGCUCCAAUAGCGUAUAUUAAAGUUGUUGCAGUUAAAAAGCUCGUAGUUGGAUUUCUGAUUUGAACGUCCGGUCCGCUUCUUCGAAGCGCGAACUAUGGAUGUUUGGGUCAUUUUUUGUGAGGAUGCCUUUCUGCCAUUAAGUUGGUGGUUGGGUGGACUUGCAUCGUUUACUGUGAAAAAAUUAGAGUGUUUAAAGCAGGCGUUUGCUCAUUUGAAUACAUUAGCAUGGAAUAAUAAGAUACGACCUUGGUGGUCUAUUUUGUUGGUUUGCACACCAGGGUAAUGAUUAAUAGGGACAGUUGGGGGUAUUCAUAUUUCAGCGUCAGAGGUGAAAUUCUUGGAUCGCUGAAAGAUGAGCUUAGGCGAAAGCAUUUACCAAGGAUGUUUUCA